rnacentral:tRNA from 1 species
AGCAGUGUGGCCUAGUGGAGAGAGCACAGGCCUGGGAGUCAGAAGGACCUGGGUUCCAAUCCUGGCUCUGCUA